UAGGAACAAAGCCAACUUCGGAUCCAGC
rnacentral:piRNA from 1 species